UGGACUAAACCUCUCUCCCUACUUAUUUUAAGUUUGGCCCACAGGCUUCUCCGUACUUUGUGAAUUAGAAUCUCUGUUGCUAAGUAAACCAGCCAAUGGAACCUACUCUCCCUACAGGUCAGGACCCCUGACAGUGCCAGCCAGAACCUUUCCUGGAGAGGUCACUGGCAGCAAGAUAAGAAGCACCUCAGUUCUCCUGGUUGCUGUCAGGGUUGUAUUAACUUGCAGACUUGCAGGAUGGCAGCUGCAAAUCCAUCCAUCAUACCUGUCCCUGCGUGUGCACAUCAGAGAGUCACAGACAUGGAAAACACCCACUGGGAGUCACAGGUGAGUCAAGCUGUUUUCUUCUUUUUCUUUUUUUUUUUAAUUAGCACAGGUUUCCA
rnacentral:lncRNA from 1 species